rnacentral:piRNA from 1 species
UGAGCACGCACUGCAGGACUGUUUGGGU